UACGUAGGUGGCAAGCGUUGUCCGGAUUUACUGGGCGUAAAGGAUGCGUAGGCGGACAUUUAAGUCAGAUGUGAAAUACCCGAGCUUAACUUGGGUGCUGCAUUUGAAACUGGGUGUCUGGAGUGCAGGAGAGGUAAGUGGAAUUCCUAGUGUAGCGGUGAAAUGCGUAGAGAUUAGGAAGAACACCAGUGGCGAAGGCGACUUACUGGACUGUAACUGACGCUGAGGCAUGAAAGCGUGGGGAGCAAACAGG
rnacentral:rRNA from 1 species